UAGGUACCAUUGCCUUAGAAUCUACCAAUAUCGCUCAAAAUUAUUCUUCCAAAAAACGUACUCUUCCAUUGGCUUCAAUUUUUCGAACAAUAACUUUCGAAACAUAUGUGUAGAUUCGUAGUACCUAUUCGCAGGUGAAAUACACCUCGGUACGUAGGGGUACAAAUGGACGGGUUUUGGCCAGUACCCGCUUUCAUGCAUCAGUUUCUCCUCCUUUUAAUCGUAAUCUUGCGAAAUCCUCAAAAAUUAUGUCAUCGUCAUGAUUUUCCUCCUCCAGCUGAAUUAAGUUGGCAUCGACUGGUACGUCACUUCUGACGUCUUCACUGACACGCCUAGAAGGAGUGGCUGGCGGUAAAAUUUCCUCUUCUGGUUUAGGAUGCAUCAAAAUAAAA